rnacentral:rRNA from 1 species
CUACGGGAUGCUCCAGUGGGGAAUAUUGCACAAUGGGCGCAAGCCUGAUGCAGCCAUGCCGCGUGUAUGAAGAAGGCCUUCGGGUUGUAAAGUACUUUCAGCGGGGAGGAAGGGAGUAAAGUUAAUACCUUUGCUCAUUGACGUUACCCGCAGAAGAAGCACCGGCACACUCCGUGCCAGCAGCCGCGGUAAUACGGAGGGUGCAAGCGUUAAUCGGAAUUACUGGGCGUAAAGCGCACGCAGGCGGUUUGUUAAGUCAGAUGUGAAAUCCCCGGGCUCAACCUGGGAACUGCAUCUGAUACUGGCAAGCUUGAGUAUAGUAGAGGGGGGUAGAAUUCCAGGUGUAGCGGUGAAAUGCGUAGAGAUCUGGAGGAAUACCGGUGGCGAAGGCGGCCCCCUGGACGAAGACUGACGCUCAGGUGCGAAAGCGUGGGGAGCAAACAGGAUUAGAUACCCUUGUAGUC